GUGACGCGAAUUUAGUAUUUAUUACUUGCACCUGCCUAAUUCUGUAAUCACUUUUGCUUCGGUACAACCCCCCUCCCCCACAAAACGUAUAAAGGAGAAUGUAUAUCCACCUCGUAUUAUACACUCCUUAUAUAGUAUACGUAUGACGGCCUAUAGUGUACAAUACGAGGUGGGUAUACAUUUUCCUUUAUACGUUUUAUGAAGGAGGGGGUUGUACCGAAGCACACCUCUUCUGUAAUACUAAAGUAAAACAGUCCCGCUUCAGCUCAAACUAAUUACAUUAUUUUGCUUAGGUGACACUACAUCUAACAAAGUUCCUGCCUGCUGGCAUGUUGCAUUUAUCCCCAAGAACAUGAAUACAUGACAUAUUGACAUAGCUGUAGCAUGUCCAUUCCUAUUCCAACGGUCUUCUACAAGGACUGCCUCAUAUCCCAUCAACAUGGGGAAAACUUUUGGUAAGGCUACAUAUAUCUUCCUAGUUCCCCUUUUUUCUUUUUAUUAUGCAACUGGAUAAAGAUUCUAGGUCAUUAAACACACUGACAUGAGCGAACCAACACCGCCCCGCUCGGGCGUGGCGACGGGCGAGAUUUCACCUACCGCCAUUAAUGUCAAUUACUGCCGCCCACCGCUCACCCUCGAGCUGCCCCACCGCCCGUCUCCACUUGGCCUCGAGCCUCCCCUCCACUCCCAGCCUUCGACGCACGGCGACGAUUCCUAUCCGUCAGAGAGUCGUGACUGCAUCGGGUGCGUUUCCUCUCCCUCGGCCGCUCCCCAUCUCGAUGGCGGGCGAGAGAAGAAGGAUCCGGGUGCGGCGACUCCGCACGGAGAUGGUGUCGCCGCCGCGGGCUCUAGGCGCUCCAACUCCGAUAAUGCUGCUGCCAUCAGCAGAACUUCGGUCGGCGGAGGCCCGUGCGGAGAUGAUGCGGGUGGUUCGAGGGAAAUUCCCGGAUCGAGCAAGUUGGCCAGGGGUGAUGGUGGAGAUAAUCCGCAUGGCAACCUUCGCGGAACGAGCUCGUUUCUGCGGCGACGAUGGAGGCAUGGAUUACGAGUUCGUGUAUUGGGCGAUGCGGGAGGCGGAGGCCACGGAUCCAGGAGUGGCGAGGAAGUGGAGCCGAUUCAAAUCGUCGAUUCCAUUCCUCCUCAACAUCAAUCCCCCGUCGGUGCUGGAGAUAUCUCAGAUUCCUCGCGAGGAGCUGCCGCCGGGGAUCGAUCCUCCUCAAGCCAGUUGACCUCGCGGGGCCCUGGCGGGCGUGCUUCGCGGCGAGGACGUCGGGCGGGGAAGGAGCUUCAUCGCUUCGAACCACCGCCAUGGCCAGGAGAUCGAGGUUUGGUUCUUCCUCAUCGCAAUCGGGUUAGUCGAUCUUUCCCUUUUCCUUUCCGUCAUGUAUUUUCAAUGACUGGUUCUUGUGAUCUUCUGAUCACUGAUGUGGGUGAGAGGAAUCAGAAGAAGGCCCCGUGCGACCUUUUGGUUAUUGCUGGGGGUAGUAGUCUUACUUCCGAUUUGGAUUCAGAUAAGAUUUCUAGGGGGAUUUGUAUCCCACCCAAUAUCCCUACAUUAGGAUCAAACAAGCCUGGAGGUUUGUAUGAGUUGAGGUAAUGUUCUGAUGUUAAAUCAGGAAAUCCCUCCUCUGCUUCUGUGGAUGAUGCUGGGGAUUGUAGUUGUAGGAUUGUUCCUCCAAAGAUUGAAGAGGAGUUCGGUAGUUGUAUGGCACUAGUAACUGGGUUUAUACCCGAGGACAAAACUUCAGAGAUGAUAGAACUUUCUGUGAAUCCAUGUCAAAAGAUAGUUAUUCCUGCUUCUGCAGAUGGUGAACACAAAUCUGGUGACUCUGUUUGCGUGGAUUUGAAUGGAGAUGAGCUAAAUGAGAAAGAAAUUGAUAUAAUGCGCGGGUCAGUGAUAGAUUGUGAAAAAGUGGAAUUUGAGGAAAGUAAAAAGGAAAGUAAGCAGGUUGUUUCUGCAACAGUGGGAGCUGAGUUGGAUAAGAAUAUAAAAGACUGGACUCCUCUGGGGACAAUGGCAGCUUCUAAGCCGUUGAUCAGAGGAUCUGUGGUGCCCAGGAAAGCAGGAAAGAAGAAUACGCCUUCUGGGCCACAUUACAGUUUCGAGGAGGAGGUGGCUGAUUUUUAUGGACAGCUCUGGGUUAUCCCUUCCCCCAGCCGCCGCCAGAAGAGACCCAAACCUUGUCUGCCCCCUCCAAACCCUAAUUUCCCUCUAGGAAGUCGGUUGUUCUGGAUCAGGAAAGACAAGUUCAGAUCUGGCUGCUUCUCUGUAGAAGACUGCUAUCCUGUAGUUCACCCUGGUAGAUUUGACCCCAUCCCAACUGAAUUCCAGAUCGAUAGUGGGGGUUUGUGCCCUGGCAAGCUUUCUUUUGUGGGUGCUGUGAAGAAGAAGAUGGAUCAAAGAGGGGGACAUCGAGCUAGGAGACAGCCUCCAAAAAAAGGGGAUCAGGGGGCUACCUCUCAUCCUCCUGCUGCUCCUACUGUUCCUGCUACUCCACCUCCAGUUCCUUAUUUUAUGAGUGGGGCGCAAAUGGAGAAGUCUGGACUGCAAAAUUGUCAAGUUAAGAGGGAUUUUGCUUCGAUGGGAAGUUCUUUGUGGCGCUGCUCAGCAAACCGAACUGAAGCAGUUCAUUCGUCUGCUGGACAAGCGUCGGGGGGAGAUCCUGAGGAUUGCUUGGCGAUGAUCUGAAGACCUAUCCUUAUCCUUAGUUUCUUUUCUCCCUUGGUAGUUUAUCUUGGCUUGUAAUAAAUGUAGAUUACUUUGCACUUUCCAGGACAGCUUCCUUUGUUGGGGUCUGCCUGUGGUUAUUUUCGGUUGAUGUGUUAACUGUUGUGUAGCUGGUUUAUGGGCUUUUUCUGCUCCAUUUAUAAAAAGUGGGGUAGGGGGGGAAACCCCUUUCGUUCAAAAA